rnacentral:rRNA from 1 species
CACGUAGUUUGCCGUGGCUUUCUAUUAAGGUACCAUCACUUUCUUUUUCCCUUAAUACAGAAGUUUACAAUCCUAGGACCUUCAUCCUUCACGCGGCGUUGCUGGGUCAGAGUUUCCUCCAUUGCCCAAUAUUCCUAACUGCUGCCUCCCGUAGGAGUCUGGACCGUGUCUCAGUUCCAGUGUGGCCGUUCAUCCUCUCAGAUCGGCUAUCCAUCGUCGCCUUGGUAGGCCAUUACCCCACAACAAGCUAAUGAAACGCAAGCUCAUCUAAAGCCGAAUUACUUCUUUACCCCUUUCACAUAUGUGUUUGUGGUCUUAUGCGGUAUUAGCAAAUAUUUCUAUCUGUUACUCCCCCAGCUAAAGCAGAUUACUACACGCGUUACUCACCCGUUCGCCACGUACGAAUGAGCA